UCGUGCUGAUCGGGGAGUCAGCGGUUCCCUGUAGCCCGAAAUCCGCUAUACGCGGGGAUGAACGGUUUAUUGAGGAUCUGUUAUCGUGUUGUCAGCCCCUGUACUGAAGUGUUGAGAGAUCGGUCCCGCGCAGCGGAUCGCCGUGAACCAUGUCAGGCGGGGAACCGAGCAGCAUUAAGCGGAAGGGUCCGAGUGCCGCGGCAAACCGGUUUUGAGCCGAUGUUCAGAACGGCGGACGCGAUACUUUUUCGAUAUAAACCGCACGG
rnacentral:SRP_RNA from 1 species